GGGUGUCUUCUCCCUCACCAGCUGGGUUCCAUGCCUCUGCAGUGGUGUCUCAUGUUUGCUGUGUAGUUGCUGUCCUAACAGUAAGAAUUCCACGUUGACUCACCUCAUUUAUGCUUUCAUUCUCCUCCUGAGUGCUGUCGUAUCCUAUAUCAUGCAGAGAAAAGAGAUGGAAACGUACCUGAAGAAGAUUCCUGGAUUUUGUGAAGGGGGAUUUAAAAUCCAUGAGGCUGAUAUAAAUGCAGUAAAGAUUGUGAUGUGCUGGUUGGUUAUAAAGCUGUGUAUCGGAUCAGCUUUGCCAUGGCCAUCUUUUUCUUUGUCUUUUCUCUGCUCAUGUUGAAAGUAAAAACAAGUAAAGAUCCCCGAGCAGCAGUACACAAUGGGUUUUGGUUCUUCAAAAUUGCUGCCCUUAUUGGAAUCAUGGUUGGAUCUUUCUACAUCCCUGGGGGCUAUUUCAGCUCAGUCUGGUUUGUUGCUGGCAUGAUGGGGGCUGCCCUCUUCAUCCUCAUUCAGCUGGUGCUGUUAGUAGACUUUGCUCAUUCUUGGAAUGAAUCAUGGGUAAAUCGAAUGGAAGAAGGAAACCCAAGGUUGUGGUAUGCCGCUUUACUGUCUUUCACAAGCGCCAUUUAUAUCCGGUCAAUCAUCUGUGUCGGGCUGCUCUAUACAUACUACAUCAAACCAGAUGGCUGCACAGAAAACAAGUUCUUCAUCAGUAUUAACCUGAUCCUUUGCGUUGUGGCUUCUAUUAUAUUGAUCCACCCAAAAAUUCAGGAACACCAGCCUCGCUCCGGCCUCUUGCAGUCCUCCCUCAUCACCCUCUACAUUAUGUACCUCACCUGGUCAGCCAUGUCCAAUGAACCUGAUCGUUCCUGAACCCCAGCCUGAUGAGCUUUAUUACAUGCAUAACCACCAACACUGGCUCCUGGAAAUUCAACUGCUAUGGUCCCUACCCCUACUCCACCAUCAAAGAGUGGGUCUUUACUGGAUUCAGAUAAUUUUAUUGGACUGUUUGUCUUUGUUCUCUGUCUUUUGUAUUCUAGCAUCCGCACUUCCACUAAUAGCCAAGUAGACAAGCUGACCCUGUCAGGGAGUGACAGCGUCAUCCUUGGUGAUACAACUACCAAUGGUGCCAGUGAUGAAGAAGAUGGACAGCCUCGACGGGCUGUGGACAACGAGAAAGAGAGAGUGCAGUAUAGCUACUCCUUAUUCCACCUCAUGCUCUGCUUGGCUUCUUUGUACAUCAUGAUGACCCUGACCAGCUAGUACAGCCCUGAUGCAAAGUUUCAGAGCAUGACCAGCAAGUGGCCAGCUGCAUGGGUCAAGAUCAGCUCCAGCUGGGUCUGCCUCCUGCUUUACGUCUGGACCCUUGUGGCUCCACUUGUCCUCACCAGUCGGGACUUCAGCUGAACCUCUGAGUGCCAAGGACACCACUGAACCUCACAAAGGUCUCCUUCACCGAACACUCAUAUACCUUUUAAGUUUGCUUCAACUAAAAUAUUAAGUGAAUGCUUUGCAAGUUUGACUGUAUCCAGUUUUAUACCAGAAGGUGAGAUUGAAUAAUGCGUGAUGCAGAAUCUAAACUUCUCAUUUAUCUGCAUAUUUUGUUUACUUUUAAGGAUAUAGCACAAAGGGAACAUUUUUUGUUUAAAGUGAACUAUAGCUGUGCUGUGAAGAGAGUUCUUUAUAAAGCCUGUCGGUUCUUUCAACUUUGGUUUAAAAUGUAAGAUAGGAAAAUGUUGGAUAUUUGAGGCCAUGCUUAAUAUAUUUAUAUUGCAGUAUC